rnacentral:rRNA from 1 species
GACGAACCACACGAACGUUACUCGGAAUUACUGGGCUUAAAGGGUGCGUAGGCGGCGUGGUAAGUUGGGUGUGAAAUCCCUCGGCUCAACCGAGGAACUGCGCCCAAAACUACCAUGCUUGAGGAAGAUAGAGGUAAGCGGAACUUACGGUGGAGCGGUGAAAUGCGUUGAUAUCGUAAGGAACACCUGUGGCGAAAGCGGCUUACUGGGUCUUUUCUGACGCUGAUGCACGAAAGCCAGGGGAGCAAACGGG